CAUUAUGAAGCUAAUUAUAGUAUUAACCUUUUAAGUUAAAGAUUAGGCAUUCAAAUCUCAUAAUGA
rnacentral:tRNA from 1 species